GGCCGGUUAGCUCAGUUGGUUAGAGCGUGGUGCUAAUAACGCCAAGGUUGUGGGUUCGAUCCCCAUACUGGCCA
rnacentral:tRNA from 1 species